AGUGAACGCUGGCGGCGUGCUUAACACAUGCAAGUCGAACGAGAACGGAAUAUAGCUUGCUAUAUUUGUCAGCUAAGUGGCGCACGGGUGAGUAAUGUAUAGAUAACCUGCCCUUAAGAAAGGAAUAACAGUUGGAAACGACUGCUAAUGCCCUAUAUGCCUUUAAUACAUAAGUAUGCAAGGGAAACGCUUUAGUGCUUAAGGAUGGGUCUGUAUGGUAUCAGCUUGUUGGUGAGGUAAUGGCUCACCAAGGCUAUGACGCUUAACUGGUUUGAGAGGAUGAUCAGUCACACUGGAACUGAGACACGGUCCAGACUCCUACGGGAGGCAGCAGUGGGGAAUAUUGCACAAUGGACGAAAGUCUGAUGCAGCAACGCCGCGUGGAGGAUGACACAUUUCGGUGCGUAAACUCCUUUUAUAUAGGAAGAUAAUGACGGUACUAUAUGAAUAAGCACCGGCUAACUACGUGCCAGCAGCCGCAGUAA
rnacentral:rRNA from 1 species